UGGCUCAGUUCAGCAGGAACAGGU
rnacentral:ncRNA from 4 species